CGCUAACGGCCGCGGCGGGGCGGGGCGGUGAGGGGCGGCCCCCGCCUGAGGCGAGGAGGCGGCACCGGGGCUUCGUGGGGCUCGAAUGUUUUUUUUUGGGAGCUUUCUCGUAUCGGGGCGCCCACCCCCGUGUUUGGUGCCAAGUGAAAGGGCGAGCUCAGGGCGCUGUUGGCCGCCAGCGCUGUCCCUUCGGGUCUGGUCAGCCCAGCCCGUUAUGUUCCGUCAGGAAGCCAGUGCCCGACCCCAGCACAUGCUUUAGCCCAGCCCAAGUACAGGACUCCACGUUUCGUUGCUGGUUUCAGUCAGAUUCCUCUCAGCACCGUGCCUUUUAGGGUGCCCUGGUCUCUGAACGGCAGCCCUGCCCCUGAGUGCAGUGCCUGCACCCUCUGCUAACGGGGAUUAGCACAGCCAAGCUCCAAAACCUGGUAAAUCGACCAGAAUAAAGCGGAGAAAACCACUGUAAAGGUCUGAUCUGCUUUCCUGCCGCAUACAGGCUGUAGUCUUCAGCCAAGAUUUCAGAAAAUUCCUACUUGGCUUGUGAUGAAUUCUCUGAAAGUUACUCCACAGGUAUUCAAAAACUACCUGCUGCUACCAAAGAAGAUUUUUCACUGAUAGCUUCCCAGCAUUGAGAGCCCUGUCUUUGUGAGCUGUAAGCUUCCUGCUGCCACAAUUAAUGCCAGCUGAGAAUUGAAAAGAUACUUGGCUACUGAGGUGAAAAUUUGCCAAAGGCUGAAAAAACAAAGCACCAGGGUACUGGUGCUCAGUAUACUUCUGAUGGUCAAAGGCAUCCAUCUCCAGGGAGCAGAGAUGCCAGAGAAAACCUGGUUCAGGAAGCAUAUGAUGCCUGUGUGGGAGCUAGAGAAACUGCUUGCUUGCUGGCUUUGAAAAGAUGACUGCUGCAGGAGAACUGGGACAGAAAGAAUGAGAUUUGGAACCAGAAGCCCAGCCUGUUCCUGGUGAAACGUCUCUAUUGGUAUCUUCACAUAUCUACCAAGACAUAAAAUGGACAGGCAGGAAGUCAUUUGCUAGCCUUAUGUAAUAUCCAGUCCUGCAAAGAAGCGCAUUCUGGGGGGUUGCUCUACCCACACAGCACUCCACCAUGCAGGCAUGCCUCCGCAUCUUUGCAUAACUCAAGCUUAGACCUCCUACAAGAUCAUCUCCCACCUCUAGAGCGCAUCUGUUCAUUUUCUGCCUGUCAAACCUCUUCAGAAUUUAAAAGUUGCAAGUUGUAAGAGAUAGAGAACAAGCUCUCAAGUUUGAGUACAUCAGUUCAGGACAGAUCUGAUAAGAAAUGUUUUUAUUUUUAUUUCUAAAAUGGAACUCUGCUGCUGGGUAAGGAACUGUCUCUUGCAACAUAUUGUUCCUCAACAAUAAAAAAAAAAAAAAUCUAAGGCAGAAGUACAAUUCUCUUUUUAGAUCUGACACCUCCAAAGCCUGAUAUAUGUGGCUGGGUGAGCUACAUGAAAAGGUAUUAUUAGGUUUUUAUUAGAUUAUGAUGCAAGCUCAACCUGGCUAGGCAUGUCAGACUGUAAAUCUAGUGCAAACAUCUGUGGCCAAAUUUCAUUUUCAUUCAUGGUGAUGUUUGCAGACAUUAUUCCUUUCUGCUGUAAAACUGGUUCCAUUCUAACAACUGUUAGAAGGGCAGAGGUAUGUGUAGGGCAAUGUUUAUAAUGUAAACAGUCAUUGAUGUAAAACGAUUCUGACUGUGCUCCUGAACUAAAUCACAAAUAAUGCUUAUAAAGGCAAAGGAAUUAUUCUUGCUUACAAUACAUGAAACCAAAGUUCAGGCCUUUAUCACAAUAGAGGGUAGGGCUUGUUGGAUAUGGCACGGAUAUUUAUUUAUACAUGUCUUUUUACCAUCAGUGACUUCUUAUAGAUAGCUGCCAGAAGGGAGCAGAAAGCAGGCUAAGUGUGGUGUUAAAAGAAUUAAUCAAACUGUUGAAGCCAGAUAGACAUGGACAACUUCCAUUUUCAACAGGGACUGCACAAGAAUUGGGUUUCUGAAAGCUGCACUGGGUACUGAAGACACUUGAAGUGCUUUUUCCAUUCCAGAGAGUGACAGUCUCGCUAACAGUAGGCAGCUCUCUUUGCAGUGUGUCACACUCACUUUAUACCUGCUCUGAAUGCUGC